AAUUCUACGGAGGCAGCAGUGGGAUAUGCACAUGGCGCAGCUGAUGCAGCGACGCGCGUGGGGAUGACGGCCUUCGGUGUAAACUCCUUUCAACCAUGACGAAGCUUUUUGUGACGGUAGUGGUAGAAGAAGCACCGGCUAACUACGUGCCAGCAGCCGCGGUAAUACGUAGGGUGCGAGCGUUGUCCGGAAUUACUGGGCGUAAAGAGCUCGUAGGUGGUUUGUCGCGUCGUCUGUGAAAUUCCGGGGCUUAACUCCGGGCGUGCAGGCGAUACGGGCAUAACUUGAGUACUGUAGGGGAGACUGGAAUUCCUGGUGUAGCGGUGAAAUGCGCAGAUAUCAGGAGGAACACCGAUGGCGAAGGCAGGUCUCUGGGCAGUUACUGACGCUGAGGAGCGAAAGCAUGGGUAGCGAACAGGAUUAGAUACCCUGGUAGUCCAUGCCGUAAACGGUGGGCGCUAGGUGUGGGGGUCUUCCACGACUUCCGUGCCGUAGCUAACGCAUUAAGCGCCCCGCCUGGGGAGUACGGCCGCAAGGCUAAGACUCAAAGGAAUUGACGGGGGCCCGCACAAGCGGCGGAGCAUGUGGAUUAAUUCGAUGCAACGCGAAGAACCUUACCUGGGCUUGACAUAUGCAGGAUCGGCACAGAGAUGUGUUUUCCCUUGUGGUCUGUAUACAGGUGGUGCAUGGUUGUCGUCAGCUCGUGUCGUGAGAUGUUGGGUUAAGUCCCGCAACGAGCGCAACCCUUGUCUUGUGUUGCCAGCACGUUAUGGUGGGGACUCGCGAGAGACUGCCGGGGUUAACUCGGAGGAAGGUGGGGAUGACGUCAAAUCAUCAUGCCCCUUAUGUCCAGGGCUUCACACAUGCUACAAUGGUCGGUACAGUGGGUUGCUACACCGUGAGGUGGUGCUAAUCCCUUUAAAGCCGGUCUCAGUUCGGAUUGGAGUCUGCAACUCGACUCCAUGAAGUCGGAGUCGCUAGUAAUCGCAGAUCAGCACGUGCG
rnacentral:rRNA from 1 species